rnacentral:rRNA from 1 species
GCAGAGCAUCCUACGGGAGGCAGCAGUGGGGAAUAUUGCACAAUGGGCGCAAGCCUGAUGCAGCCAUGCCGCGUGUAUGAAGAAGGCCUUCGGGUUGUAAAGUACUUUCAGCAGUGAGGAAGGUGGAUAUGUUAAUAGCAUAUUCAUUUGACGUUAGCUGCAGAAGAAGCACCGGCUAACUCCGUGCCAGCAGCCGCGGUAAUACGGAGGGUGCGAGCGUUAAUCGGAAUUACUGGGCGUAAAGCGCAUGCAGGUGGUUUGUUAAGUCAGAUGUGAAAGCCCGGGGCUCAACCUCGGAAUUGCAUUUGAAACUGGCAAACUAGAGUACUGUAGAGGGGGUAGAAUUUCAGGUGUAGCGGUGAAAUGCGUAGAGAUCUGAAGGAAUACCGGUGGCGAAGGCGGCCCCCUGGACAGAUACUGACACUCAGAUGCGAAAGCGUGGGGAGCAAACAGGAUUGGAUACCCUGAUAG